GGCGCUAUCGUCUAGCCUGGUCUAGGACACCAGAUUCUCAAUCUGGCAGCACGGGUUCAAAUCCCGUUAGCGCUA
rnacentral:tRNA from 1 species